rnacentral:rRNA from 1 species
UACGUAGGGAGCAAGCGUUGUCCGGAAUCAUUGGGCGUAAAGCGCGCGUAGGUGGCUUCGUAAGUCCGUUGUGAAAGUCAAAGGCUCAACCUUUGAAAGCCGAUGGAUACUGUGAAGCUAGAGUACGGAAGAGGCGAGUGGAAUUCCUGGUGUAGCGGUGGAAUGCGCAGAUAUCAGGAGGAACACCAAUAGCGAAGGCAGCUCACUGGGACGUUACUGACACUGAGGCGCGAAAGCGUGGGGAGCGAACAGG